UAAAGGAAAUGUUCUGACUCACUGGAUGAUGGACCCUCAUCAGGCCAAGAUCUGCUCGCUCACUCUGUCAGCGAUGGCUUAAUUCCAGAUCAACUCACUGCAAAUACGAUUCCUGCCCUCGAUGACUGUUUGUUACUCUGUGGAUGUGUCUUCAGUCUCCUGUCUCGUCCAGACAAAAAUAAACAUGUCGAAGAGAGCCUAUUUCUUCUGUCAUCGUCAGAUGCUUCACAGAGGCUCUACCCGAGAACAGGGGUUACUGCAGCUAGGUGUUUGUUCUGCCCUCCGAGUCGGCCUUCUCACAGUAAAAAAUUGGGUAUGGAGCGAAAAGUCACAGUCAGCUGCUGGAGCUGCACAAGAAAUACGACUGCAGACUUUCACUUUCAGUCUUUGAGAAGGUGUGUCUUUUAUGAAAUACCCAUUUUA